rnacentral:rRNA from 1 species
ACUCCUACGGGAGGCAGCAGUGGGGAAUAUUGGACAAUGGGCGAAAGCCUGAUCCAGCCAUGCCGCGUGUGUGAAGAAGGUCUUCGGAUUGUAAAGCACUUUAAGUUGGGAGGAAGGGCAGUAAAUUAAUACUUUUGCUGUUUUGUACGUUACCGACAGAAUAAGCACCGGCUAACUCUGUGCCAGCAGCCGCGGUAAUACAGAGGGUGCAAGCGUUAAUCGGAAUUACUGGGCGUAAAGCGCGCGUAGGUGGUUUGUUAAGUUUGGAUGUGAAAUCCCGGGCUCAACCUGGGAACUGCAUUCAAAACUGACUGACUAGAGUAUGGUAGAGGGUGGUGGGAAUUUCCUGUGUAGCGGUGAAAAUGCGUAGAUAUAGGAAGGAACACCAGUGGCGAAGGCGACCACCUGGACUAAUACUGACACUGAGGUGCGAAAGCGU